rnacentral:lncRNA from 1 species
UUUUUUUUUUUUUUUUUUUUGCUGAGCAUGACUUUUCAAAGUCUCCCAAACUUCUGUGAAAAAAAAAGAAAGAAAGAAAAAAAAAAAAAAACUUCAAAUUUAAAGUCUUUAGGAAAGAAAAAAAAAAAAAAGCCUUUAAAAUCAUAUCACCAGAGUGGAUGGAUGAGGAGUGAGCAGAUGCCUCAUGAAUUUGAGAUCUUGUUACCUGCCAUGAGAGUAUAAAAUGUGAAAUGGUAUUUAAAUAAUGCUAAUGGUGCUCUCGAGAGCUUGAUGGGCGGCUGGCAGUGGCCUGGUCUGCAGAGUCAGUUGUAGUACCCCUGGGGGCAGAAUGUACCUGAGGCAUGAGCUUAGCUGAGAACAGGUCCCCUCAGCUCUCAGUGUGGUGAUCAGUCCCUACAGUACAGGCACAUGGGGACAAAGUGGACGUCAUGGGAGAGAAGCUGACUUCACUGUGGUCGCUGCACUGAGGUGCAGCAGAAGGAGCUCAUCAACCCCAAGAGACCUCAGGAAGAGGCUGAAGCCUGAGGAAAAUGAAUGGCAUCCUCCAUCGUCCUCAUGACUGAUUGCUGAUUUACACCCCUGCUCUGGGGCCCUUCCUGACUUCUCUGCAAAUAGCCCUGAUGAGCCUGCUCUUAUCUAACUCAGCCCCAUCUUCUGGGGCUUUGCAUUAGCAUUUUUAGGAUGUACUGUUCUGGCAAGAGACCUUCUAUCUAGUAAGGCCAAUUAUCUCCUUAGAUUCCUACUUCUAUCUUUAUUCAUUAACUCCUGAUUCCUCUCUCAGAAAUGAGCUCAUUUAGGCUGCUAGCCUCUUCUUUGAAUGACUUUCCUCCUUGCGGACUAAAUCCAGGAUCAUUUUUUGCUCACCAUUCCCUCUAGGCCUGCUCCCCUAUUCCAUGCUUCCCUCACCUCUGCCUUAUUGUCAGUUGUGGCACCCCUAAUGAAAAAUUAAGAUGGCAGUCCAAACUGUCCCUCCCUAUCAAGCCCAGGACAAGGUUUGAUUUUCCUGUCCUCCAAUAGUGCAAGAAAUCCAACAAUCCUUAGAAAGAUGGUUAAGUUGUAUCAGUCAUUACAUGAACUAAAUGCUAUGAAAUGCAUGUGCAUAUGCACAUAGAUACAUAUGCAUAAUCAUGGUUUCAUUAUUAAACUUUUUAUUAAAUUUAUUUUUUUUUCUUUUUGGCCUGAUUACACUGGAGAUUGAACAUAGGGCCCUUUUCAUGCUAUAGAAGAAUUCAACCACUGUGCUAUAUGCUAAGUCCUCUUUUAACUUCCUUUAGUUGUCUGUUCGUUCAUUUGUUUGUUUCCUUUGCAGCUAUUUCUCCUCCAAGUCUGAUGAGAUUUUUCACAUGAUAUCAGCUGCCUUGUUCUAAAUCUGAAUCAAGAGAAUGUAGCCAAUAAGAUGCCCCCCACCACCACCACCACCACCACCACAUAUCAGAACUUUUAUCAAGCUAAAAAUCAGAAAUCCUUUUCUACUACAUUUAGAAUUCCUCCACACACAAGAGACUGGCCUGCAAAAAAACAUGUAAUAAAACUGGUCAGAUAGAAAGGACAGUCAGACCGAGCAGUGGUGGCACACGCCUUUAAUCCCAGCACUUGGGAGGCAGAGGCAGGUGGAUUUCUGAGUUUGAGGCCAGCCUGGUCUACAAAGUAAGUUCUAGGACAGCCAGGGAUGCACAGAAAAACCCUGUC